UAGCGGGGCCGGCCGGGGGGGGGUGUUUUUUUUAUUUUCCCCUUUAAUUUGGGGGGGGAAGGCCCCCCCUUUUUCCGGGAAGGGAAAAAGUUUUUUUUGGGGAGGGGACCGAGAAACCGCUCCCCUCUCCGAGGAGGGCGCGGGGCGAAAAUUCCCCCUCCCCCCCCGGGGAGGGAGGACAAAAAUAACGAACCGGGCCUUUGUUCUUUAAUGGGAAGGGGCCCAAUUAAAUCCCUUAGCGAGAACAUUGGAGGGCAAGUCUGGGCCCAGCAGCCGCGGUUAUUCCAGCUCCAAAGCGUAUAUAAAGUUGUGCAGUAAAAAGCUUGUAGUUGAACUUUGGGCCUGGGCGGACGGUCUACCUAUGGUAAGCACUGUUGCGGCCGGGUCUUUCCUUCUGGCUAGCCCUCGGGCGAACCAGGACGAUUACUUUGAGGAAAUUAGAGUGUUCAAAGCAGGCCUUUGCUCGGAUAUAUUAGCAUGGAAUAAUAGAAUAGGACGCAUGGUUCUAUUUUGUUGGUUUCUAGGACCAUCGUAAUGAUUAAUAGGGACGGUCGGGGGCAUCAGUAUUCAGUCGUCAGAGGUGAAAUUCUUGGAUUGACUGAAGACUAACUACUGCGAAAGCAUUUGCCAAGGACGUUUUCAUUAAUCAAGAACGAAAGUUAGGGGAUCGAAGAUGAUCAGAUACCGUCGUAGUCUUAACCAUAAACUAUGCCGACUAGGGAUCGGGUGGUGCUACUUUGCCCACUCGGCACCUUACGAGAAAUCAAAGUUUUUGGGUUCUGGGGGGAGUAUGGUCGCAAGGCUGAAACUUAAAGGAAUUGACGGAAGGGCACCACCAGGAGUGGAGCCUGCGGCUUAAUUUGACUCAACACGGGGAAACUCACCAGGUCCAGACGUAAUAAGGAUUGACAAGUUAGAGACUUCUCUUGAUCUUACGGGUGGUGGUGCAUGGCCGUUUUUAGUCCUUGGAGUGAUUUGUCUGCUUAAUUGCGAUAACGGACGAGACCUUAACCUGCUAAAUAGGGCUGCGAGCAUCUGCUCGGGUGCUCUUCUUAGAGGGACUAUGGGUAUCAAACCCAUGGAAGUUUGAGGCAACAACAGGUCUGUGAUGCCCUUAGACGUUCUGGGCCGCACGCGCGCUACACUGACGGAGCCAGCAAGUCCAACCUUGGUCGAGAGGCCCGGGUAAUCUCGUGAAACUCCGUCGUGCUGGGGAUAGAGCAUUGUAAUUUUUGCUCUUCAACGAGGAAUUCCUAGUAAGCGCAAGUCAUCAGCUUGCGUUGAUUACGUCCCUGCCCUUUGUACACACCGCCCGUCGCUACUACCGAUUGAAUGGCUUAGUGAGGCUUCAAGAUUGGCGCCGCGGGAGGGGCAACUUUCCCAUGGGGCCGAGAAUCUAGUCAAACUGUCAUUGGCG
rnacentral:rRNA from 1 species